UACGUAGGGUCCGAGCGUUAAUCGGAAUUAUUGGGCGUAAAGGGCGCGUAGGCGGCUUGGCAAGUGGAUGGUGAAAUCCCUCGGCUUAACCGAGGAACUGCCGUCCAAACUGCUUCGCUUGAGACCGGGAGAGGUGAGUGGAAUUCCCAGUGUAGCGGUGAAAUGCGUAGAUAUUGGGAGGAACACCAGUGGCGAAGGCAGGUCUCUGGGCCGAUACUGACGCUGAGGAGCGAAAGCGUGGGGAGCGAACAGG
rnacentral:rRNA from 1 species